GCCGGGGUGAUGAAAUGGUAGACAUAAGGGACUUAAAAUCCCUGGACCGCAAGGUCGUGAGAGUUCGAGUCUCUCCCCCGGCA
rnacentral:tRNA from 3 species